UACGUAGGGUGCGAGCGUUGUCCGGAAUCAUUGGGCGUAAAGCGCGCGUAGGCGGCCCGGUAAGUCCGCUGUAAAAGUCCAGGGCUCAACCCUGGAAAGCCGGUGGAUACUGUCGGGCUCGAGUCCGGAAGAGGCGAGUGGAAUUCCUGGUGUAGCGGUGAAAUGCGCAGAUAUCAGGAAGAACACCUAUGGCGAAGGCAGCUCUCUGGGACGGUACUGACGCUGAGACGCGAAAGCGUGGGGAGCGAACAGG
rnacentral:rRNA from 1 species